UUGUGUGAUUAUGUGUAUCUUUUUGUAGGUGUUCCUACUUCGACUGCUGUAGCUGCAACACGUUCCGGUUCCAGUACUACUGCUGUUCAGACAUCAUCAUCCCCGGUAGUAGCUCCCAGUAGAGGAAGAUUUAUCUGUCAUGGUUCACUCAAGGCAGCCACUGGCCCUCAUUCCUAAGGCCAGGUUUCGAAAAAUAUGCUUCAAAACAAGAGCCAUGGGAUUGAAAAAAAAAUAAAAAUUUAUGAACUCUCAACUCCGUGGUGUGGAGGCAUGCCUGAUUAUCUCUGAUUGGAAGGGUGAUGAGGAGCGGCCAAUGCUGGCCUCCAAACUGAAAAGAGGUGAAGUCUGGUAUCAACUGAUAUAAAAGAAAUAGCAAGAAGACAACAGGACUGAAAACCCUGGAAGGCAACCAAAGUACAGAACCAAAGAUAAACUUGAAGCGAUUAAUUACCAAAUGGAAACACUGUUUGUGCAGCAAUUUCUAGCGGAAGAACCUGAUGAACCAGUGAUGGAUGAAGAGGAGGACGCAGCAAGAAAUUGUUGUUGAUUCAAGUGGAUCCUUCUAAGCUGUGAAGCAAAUAGUUCAGCUGCUCAAACAUGCCUUCAUUUUUGUAUCUGGUCCUUUGUAUUAGAAAGCGCCUCACUGUAGGAUGUAAAUGUUUGUCUAUUUUAGAUUUUCUGGACUGGUUGGGCUUGUUAAUAGGAGGAUGUUUUCUUUUUCUUUUCCUUUUGCCCUUUAUAUACUUACUGCAGGCUGGGUUUUGAUCCCUUCUUUAAUUAGGCAUUUUUUUUAAAAUAAAUCUAUGUUUGCCAAUCAAUAUAUGUACAUAUACCAAACGUCAAGUUAAUUCUAUGUUUUUUUGUGACUGUUACUCAUCA